UACAGAGGUCUCAAGCGUUGUUCGGAUUCAUUGGGCGUAAAGGGUGCGUAGGUGGCGGGGUUAGUCAGGUGUGAAAUCUCGGGGCUCAACCCCGAAACUGCACUUGAUACUGCCUUGCUAGAGUACUGGAGAGGAGAUUGGAAUUUACGGUGUAGCAGUGAAAUGCGUAGAUAUCGUAAGGAAGACCAGUGGCGAAGGCGAAUCUCUGGACAGUUCCUGACGCUGAGGCACGAAGGUCAGGGGAGCAAACGGG
rnacentral:rRNA from 1 species